UACAUGGGGGUGCAAACGUUGCUCGGAAUUAUUGGGCGUAAAGCGCACGUAGGCGGUUCGUUAAGUCGGGUGUGAAAGCCCUCAGCUCAACUGAGGAAGUGCGCCCGAAACUGCAGAGCUUGAGUGCCGGAGAGGGUGGCGGAAUUCCCCAAGUAGAGGUGAAAUUCGUAGAUAUGGGGAGGAACACCGGUGGCGAAGGCGGCCACCUGGACGGUAACUGACGCUGAGACGCGAAAGCGUGGGGAGCAAACAGG
rnacentral:rRNA from 1 species